GCGGACGUAGCCAAGUGGUAAGGCAGUGGAUUGUGAUUCCAUUAUUCGCGGGUUCGAACCCCGUCGUUCGCC
rnacentral:tRNA from 1 species